rnacentral:rRNA from 1 species
AAGAGGCUGAAACUCGCCUCUUUGAAGUCGGAAUCGCUAGUAAUCGCAGAUCAGCAUGUUGCGGUGAAUACGUUUCCUGGUCUUGUACACACCGCCCGUCAAACCAUGAGAGUCGCCAACACCCGAAGUCCGCUUUGCGGCCUAAGGUGGGGGAGAUGAUUGGGGUUAAGUCGUAACAAGGUAGC